GCUCUGGUGGCUUAGUGGUUAGAGCAUCCGCCUCAAAUGUGGGAGGUCAUGGGUUCGAAUCCUGGCAGAGUCAUAGCA